AUCGACUAUCACGCAACCUGCACCGCACGCCUUUACCAACUGCUGACCCUUAGGCCUGUUUAACCUUUCUUCAACUCAAACAUUUAAUAUUCCACUCAAUUAGAAAAACAAAAGCUUUCCUCCGUUAUGAAAAUACAUGUGACAACUCACCCCGUAACGACAGACAUUUUGCCCCAAACUACCAUAUGCCUUCAUCUGUCCUCAAACAAGUCCACAUCGCUGCUUACGUUUCUAUCUGGAAGAAAUUCAAUUACCUUUUUCUUUACCUUGGGUUGUGCAAAAAGGUUGCUCGGCGCUCAUCUCUGCUCACGACGUGCGACUCUCUUCUCGAGACAGGAAAGCAC